GAUGGCCGUGGAGACAACUCGGGGGACGGUGUUGCACUGGAGGGCACACAGCUGGCCCCUGCGCUCUCGUCUCACCCCAGUGGCCUCCCUGCACUCUGUGGCCAGAGAACUAUAUGGCCUGGCCGGGGGACCCUACACAGUGGUGGUGCUGGGUAUGGGAGCCCACUUCACCACGUUCCCUCCCUCCAUCUUUGCCCGAAGACUGGCAGGGAUUCGGGCAGCUGUGAAGGCCCUGCUGGACCGGGAACCCAGUACUCUGGUCGUCAUCAAACUGGCCAACACUGGCUACAAAUCGGUGUAUGGCAGUGACUGGCUCACACUCCAGAUGAACCGCUUCCUCCGCGCUGCCUUUGUUGGUCUCCGCGUGGCCUUUGUGGAUGCCUGGGAAAUGACCUCCAGCUUGGCUGUGCCAGACAACAUCCACCCAAGGAAGCUUAUUGUCCGCAAUGAAGUGGAAUUAUUUCUGUCCUUCAUCUGUCCCACCUGAGUGCUCCUGAGGGAUCUGAGGCUGAAUGGAUUGAGAGAGAGCCUGGGUGUGGCCGUCUCAAAUGAGGCCGUCUCAAAUCAUCCAUCUGUGAUGGAAACCUGAAGUUACCCUGGCUCACCCACUAUGACACUGUGGGUCCGUAUUUCAUACUUCUCUCUGUGUGCCACAUGGACAAAUCUAGUUCAAUACAAAUG
rnacentral:lncRNA from 1 species